CCUGGCCUUGACAUGUCGAGAAUCCCGAAGAGAUUUGGGAGUGCCGCAAGAAACUCGAACACAGGUGCUGCAUGGCUGUCGUCAGCUCGUGUCGUGAGAUGUUGGGUUAAGUCCCGCAACGAGCGCAACCCUUGUCCUUAGUUGCCAGCAUUAAGUUGGGCACUCUAAGGAGACCGCCGGUGACAAACCGGAGGAAGGUGGGGAUGACGUCAAGUCAUCAUGGCCUUUAUGGCCAGGGCUACACACGUGCUACAAUGGUAAGUACAUAGGGAAGCCAACUCGCGAGAGGGAGCCAAUCCCAGAAAACUUAUCGUAGUCCGGAUCGGAGUCUUGCAACUCGACUCCGUGAAGUCGGAAUCGCUAGUAAUCGCAGAUCACAUUGCUUGCGGUGAAUACGUUCCC
rnacentral:rRNA from 1 species